UACGUAGGGAGCAAGCGUUGUCCGGAAUCAUUGGGCGUAAAGCGCGCGUAGGUGGCCCCGUAAGUCCGCUGUGAAAGUCAAAGGCUCAACCUUUGAAAGCCGGUGGAUACUGUGGGACUAGAGUACGGAAGAGGCGAGUGGAAUUCCUGGUGUAGCGGUGGAAUGCGCAGAUAUCAGGAGGAACACCAAUAGCGAAGGCAGCUCGCUGGGACGUUACUGACACUGAGGCGCGGAAGCGUGGGGAGCGAACAGG
rnacentral:rRNA from 1 species